rnacentral:rRNA from 1 species
GCCUAACACAUGCAAGUCGAACGGCAGCACGGGAGCAAUCCUGGUGGCGAGUGGCGAACGGGUGAGUAAUAUAUCGGAACGUGCCCAGUAGUGGGGGAUAGCCCGGCGAAAGCCGGAUUAAUACCGCAUGAGACCUGAGGGUGAAAGCGGGGGAUCGCAAGACCUCGCGCUACUGGAGCGGCCGAUAUCAGAUUAGCUAGUUGGUGGGGUAAAAGCUCACCAAGGCAACGAUCUGUAGUUGGUCUGAGAGGACGACCAGCCACACUGGGACUGAGACACGGCCCAGACUCCUACGGGAGGCAGCAGUGGGGAAUUUUGGACAAUGGGCGCAAGCCUGAUCCAGCAAUGCCGCGUGCAGGAAGAAGGCCUUCGGGUUGUAAACUGCUUUUGUCAGGGAAGAAAUCCUCUGGGUUAAUACCUCGGGGGGAUGACGGUACCUGAAGAAUAAGCACCGGCUAACUACGUGCCAGCAGCCGCGGUAAU